rnacentral:lncRNA from 1 species
UGGCUCAUCCCCAGGUUUAAUGCAGUCGUAGAUAAGAUAUUCAUGACUGCAAACUCAACUUGCAAGAAAACUGCAGCAAAGAAUGGCUUAUACGUGCCUCCUAAUGAACCAUCUACUUGGUUCUCCAUUUUGUCCUACGGAUUUAUGACUUCACUCUCCUAUUCAAUUGUUAUAAUAUUAACUUGUAAAAACAGCAAAGUUUAUUGAGGAUAUGAACUCAUGAGGAUGAGGAAUUUUCUGCUAUCUAUUUCCUCCUAUUUAUAUGUUAAAGUUGAUACACUUUUGAUAUCUUGAGUAAUAAUUUUUAGAGACUAAUUAAUAUAAAUCUCUAAUGAAGUUAAAAUUGAUUGUCUUUAUACUAUUGAAUAUCUUGAACAUUGAUAAUAAAUUACAUUACUUAUUAUCUAAAAUUUUAUUUCACUGUUAGGGUCGGGCCCAAACAAGUUUUUUUUUCUAAAAUUGUUUUUUAUUAAUUUUAUUAGAAAUUAUAAACAAUCAAAUAUUUUAUAUUUUCAAAUCUUUUUCAUUUCUCCUAAAAACAUAAAAUAAAAUAUCAGAGGCGAUUUCAGUUUUUUUUCAUAUUUAAAAGCAAACUCCUUUUUAUUAAACCAUUUUUCAGUUUUUUUUAAUGUUUGUUUCAUGUAAAAUAAGAUGGUUAACAUAAAUUUUUUUUCACUCACCGAAAAUAUUUCUUUCUUAUUCCCGUAAAGUAUCUUACUAAUUUUUUUCCCAUAAUAUAUUUUUUUAAACUGAUAAAGCUCUGCUCACUGUAACGCCUCCAUAUCCAACUUAAACAUCCAAUCAAAGCACCGGGAUGUUACAUUCUCUAUUACAUUAUUUAUUUAUUAAAUAUUUUCUUAUAAAUUUUUAGAACUUUUUAAUUUAAUCCCUUUUUGUCAUAAAAGUUCAAUAUUCAUUAAAUUAAUCAUAUUAAAUCAUUUUUUUUCUUGUUACACUUUAAUCACAUAAUUUAUCUCAAUAUCAUGUUUCACAUAUCAAAUUUUUAUGUAUUUCACUUUUAUGAUUUCAUCCACAUAUUUUCUCAAGUUUAACAAUUUAGUCAUUAUCAUCAUAAAAAUUUCAUAUUUUCCCACAAUUGUACUUUUACAGUACUUCAUGCAUAUUUCAUCAUCUCAUAACAUAUUCACUAAGCUUUUAUUAUAAUUUCCUUAUUCACAUAUUAAAUUAUUUAACACUUAAACUUUUGUACAUUUUUCAAUUUAGUUCUUAUUGCCAAGUAAUUUAUUUUUCACCAUAUAAGCACUUUGAUCAAAUAAUUCAUUAUAAUAUCUUAUUCGAGAUAGCAAAUCUUAUUCCACAUAACAAAUUUUUCAUGCAUAUCUUGUUUCACAAAAUUUAUAAUUUAAUCCUUAACAUCAUAAAAAAUUAUUAUUAAUAUUUUUAAAAAACAACUUCUAUAAAAUACUUUUUAGAAAAUCUAUCAAAUAAAGCUUUCCAGAAAUUAUACUUCGGAAACCAUUCUUAAAGAGAUAAACGUAUCCUUAAUGUAAGCAAAGCAAAACACAAAUUUCAAACUGCAAAAAGCAAUACAAAUUUUUGUGUACUCUGAUUUUUCGGUGGAUUGGUUGUCUUGUACCCUCUUUAUCCUCAAGAAGACAAAUUUCAAACUGCAAGAAGCAAUACGAAUUUGCAUAUUUUUCCAACCACUACACUCCAUCUAACAUUUAAAACUUUCACAAAUUUUUCUGUACUCUGAUUUAUGACAUCUUUGCUGCCAUAUAUACACAAUAACAAAACCAUCUCUUUCACCUUUAAUUUUUUUAUUUUCAAUGGCUAUAAUUUGUGGCCCUAACUGUUAAGCUAACCUAGAGAUUAGCCUACAGAGAUAAAACACUACUUUAAGUUUUUAUUUUUUCAUUUCCAAUCUCCUCCUGUAGAGAUAAAACACUACUUUGAGCAGUUCGAUGAUGAAAGGAAGAGAAGGACUACGCUCUUUGGUUUUAUGAGCCACUUGCAUGCUGGAAAUGCUACUGAGUUAUGGUUGAGUAGUGACGGGUUUGCUCUUACUUUAAAAAAAGAAAAAAAAUAAUACAAAAUUAAUUUUGCUCUUACUUGAAAGAGAUUGACGGGUGGACCGAUGGUGACUACCUGACUGGUGAACAAUGAUGGUGGACCGGUGGUGACUGCCUGACUGAUGAACGACGAUGGUGGUGGCUGGUGGGUGUUGGAGUGGAGAAGGCAAAGUUAUUUUGUUAGGGGGGAUUUAGGAACUAGCUGAUAGAAAUUGGGGGCAGUCAACUGAAGAGGAAAAGAAAACUAAGGGUAGGCAAUUAGGAAUUUAAUUUGGUCCCGGCUCAAAAAUUUCUUACAUGAGUCUCGGAUCAUUUUCUAAGAUGACUU